GUGCUCGCUUCGGCAGCACAUAUAUUAAAAUUGGAAAGAAUCACAUAAGAUCAGCAUGGCCCUCUCGAAAGGAUAUUUUCGGGGACUUUUGAAGUAGGACUGUAUAUU
ensembl:snRNA U6 U6 spliceosomal RNA